rnacentral:rRNA from 1 species
UACAGAGGUCCCAAGCGUUGUUCGGAUUCAUUGGGCGUAAAGGGUGUGUAGGUGGCGCCGUAAGUCGGGUGUGAAAUCUCGGGGCUUAACUCCGAAACUGCAUUCGAUACUGCGGUGCUUGAGGACUGGAGAGGAGACUGGAAUUCAUGGUGUAGCAGUGAAAUGCGUAGAGAUCAUGAGGAAGACCAGUGGCGAAGGCGGGUCUCUGGACAGUUCUGACACUGAGACACGAAGGCCAGGGGAGCAAACGGG